rnacentral:rRNA from 1 species
UAAAGGUAUUCCGGUAGACGAUGGGGAUGCGUUCCAUUAGAUAGUAGGCGGGGUAACGGCCCACCUAGUCUUCGAUGGAUAGGGGUUCUGAGAGGAAGGUCCCCCACAUUGGAACUGAGACACGGUCCAAACUCCUACGGGAGGCAGCAGUGAGGAAUAUUGGUCAAUGGGCGAGAGCCUGAACCAGCCAAGUAGCGUGAAGGAUGACUGCCCUAUGGGUUGUAAACUUCUUUUAUAAAGGAAUAAAGUCGGGUAUGGAUACCCGUUUGCAUGUACUUUAUGAAUAAGGAUCGGCUAACUCCGUGCCAGCAGCCGCGGUAAUACGGAGGAUCCGAGCGUUAUCCGGAUUUAUUGGGUUUAAAGGGAGCGUAGAUGGAUAUUUAAGUCAGUUGUGAAAGUUUGCGGCUCAACCGUAAAAUUGCAGUUGAUACUGGAUAUCUUGAGUGCAGUUGAGGCAGGCGGAAUUCGUGGCGUAGCGGUGAAAUGCUUAGAUAUCACGAAGAACUCCGAUUGCGAAGGCAGCCUGCUAAGCUGCAACUGACAUUGAGGCUCGAAAGUGUGGGUAUCAAACAGGAUUAGAUACCCUGGUAGUCCACACGGUAAACGAUGAAUACUCGCUGUUUGCGAUAUACUGCAA